CGCAUAGAACGUAAGGGCAGAAAUUGGUGUCAGGGAGAAACCAUACAGGUAACUGAGGCCCUCAGAUACUCAGGAAUAGGGGGUGCUGGUGACUCCCAGAAGAGAGAAGAAUGCAGCUGCUUUUGAUAAGAACUAAGUACAUGUUGGGAGAGGAAGACUCAGUCUUAAGGAUGAGGGAAUUGGGAAUGUGGACCUGGCUAGUGGUCAUCUUUCUGGUGAGUACUAAAUAAAGCUGGC
rnacentral:lncRNA from 1 species